GACCGUGUAGCUCAGUUGGUAGAGCGUCGAUCUAGUGAUUCGAACUUCGAAGGUCGCGGGUUCAAGAUCCAGCCGCGGCA